GUUUUCUUUUGGACGAGAGUAAAAUGAAGUUAAUGAAACUUUCACCUAUAACAGACUCACAAGUCGACAGACAUCAGUCUCGUGACAGCUUUGUCAACUUGAUGAGCAAAUCUAUUUCAAGAAAUUUUCUCAUCUGUAAUUUUUGACCCCCAACAAAGCAAAAUUUUUACCCCCCUGGAUUUGUCGUAUUACAACCCAUUUCAUAAUCCAGUUGAAAAGUUCCAAUCUUGGUUAUAAAUUUAUGACCUGCUGAGAAAAUGAUGGGUUGAUCUUUCAUCAAGAAUAAUUAAGCCCAGGUCACGAACAAAUCCAUUAAAAUACUCAAGAACCAUCAACUCAGUUCACUCUUCAGCCUAAGCCUGAGCCUGAACAGCACCACCAGCCACCACCGCAGAAACCGCCUCCAUCAGCAGACCCCAAAAUCCAAUUCAAAGAUUAGAACUCAAUAAUAUUAUAGGAAAGCCCUUUGAGGAUGUGAGUUCAAAAUACACAUUUGGGAAAGAAUUGGGGAGGGGGCAAUUUGGGGUAACUUACGUCUGCACUGAGAAUUCAACUGGCCACACCUAUGCCUGUAAAUCUAUAUACAAGUCUUAUAAGAAAUUCAUUUUUAGGCUUUCUUUUAUAUUGGGAAGUGCUUAUGAAUACUGAUUUUGGGCUAUCUGUUUUUAUUGAAGAGGGUAAGUAAGAAUUCAAGUUUAUCUAUUAUUGAAUAUAAAUAUUGAAUUUUGGAGCAUAGUAUUUGCCAUCAAGAUAGAGAACUUAUGGUUAUAACCUCUUGAUUGGUGCUUAAAUAAUAGGACUUCUAUAGGUUAUUUACUCUGGUUAGGCUAUGUAAAUAUUCAGUAUGAAAGCUUUAAGAUUGGUGCUUAAUUAUCAUUUUGAUUGUAUGAUAAUGGAUCUUCAAUGUAGUAUAU
rnacentral:lncRNA from 1 species